AAAUUGCGAAACAGCUAUUUGAUCUAUAUUCAAAGUUUGUAACAUUUUCAGUCUUAGGUUGUCCAAAGCCUGGAAAAAUUAUCCACGGAAAACUGAGCUACCAGCAACGUCUAGAAAAAGUUCAACUUUAACUUUUUAUGACUGACCCAAACAAAAAAAAAAUUGUCCGAGAAUAAAAGAAAAAAAAGAUGAGCCAUAAAAGCAACCAAGAACAACUUUUGGUUUUUAGUGCCGGCAGCUUGGUACAUUUUACAGCAUUUAAGUGGCCAUGAAUUUCCUGGCCAGUGAACAUCGCCUGCCAUGAAAAC